UUGGCAAUGUAGGAGAAUGAAGUUCCAAGUCCUUAGGGUCCUGGUGCUACCUGUCUUACUGUAUGGUUGUGAGCCUUGGAUGCUAACCAGUGACCUAAUGUAACGACUGGAUGUCGUUGGUACCAGGUCUGUUUUGAG